AGGUAAUUUGCGCGCGCGAGAGGCUGUUUUGCGCGCGCUGAGUGUCCAAUAAAGCCAAGCUGACAGUGCAGCAGAAGUACAGGUACAUUGGAAUAAUUGUGAUUCUUGGAGUCCGCUUUAAAAAAAGCACAUCUUUAUUUUAAGAGGGAGAGAAUAUAACAAUCAAGCUUUCUGAUUCAUCAGCCAAGGGAUGAAAAAAGAAAGAGUUAAUCUAUGGGCUGGAGCAGCUGUCCGAGAGGAAAAGAAAAAAAGUAUAGCUCAAAAACAACAAAUACAAAUGCAAUGGCAUCACGUAUAAUUACAUCUAACUACUUAUAAAGUACUGUUGAUGCACGUGCAGGUGCGACCACUUCUUUUUUUCUGGGCAGCUGAUUUGGCUCUGGAAACACGGACCAUCUUGUGGAGAAGGCUCAAUCAAAGACCAAAAAGCUAUCAGAUGGUUGUAGCUGGCAAAUCUAUUCACAGAAGACAUUGCAUAAAAAUGUUCAAUUAGAAGUGUACAUCAAAAGUAUACAUUGUUACCAAAAUAAUGUCAACAGUAACUACUAAGAUUAAGAUUUUUAUCAUAUAUAUAUUAUGUAGCAGGGUGACCUGUAUUUCUCCCAUAUAUCUGUUUCAGCCUCAGUCACCUCCCUUUUACCUGUAUUGUGACUUGUGCCACUACGCAACGGUUGCUCUACCGGAUGGCGUCGUAACUAUUCCCUCUUUGGGUGCAGUUCAAUAACUGCACCAACUUCCUGUAAGACAACCUGAUGUGUGUGGAUAUCCAAUGCCCUAAUGUGUUCUCUGUGCUCUCUUUUUAGAGUAGUGUUCUUGUCCGGGCCGUAUCUUUGGGAGGCGCGGUUUGGUGGUUUUCCGUGUACUUGCAUGUAGAUAAGUAGGGUGUUACCUGCUCAAUUCAUACAUUUGUACAAUUGUUUAUUAAUAGUAUUUUGUUCUAGGACCAGCAUUGGUGGAGUUGGAGACGGUCACAUUCUGGCGCUGGCGCUUCAGUGCUCCUAUUUUCAUCUCAUAGAAUAAUAAGAUGACUUUUUUCAACCAUUUAAAAAUAAACU
ensembl:lncRNA